UACAGAGGGUGCAAGCGUUAAUCGGAAUUACUGGGCGUAAAGCGUGCGUAGACGGUUAUGUAAGUCAGGUGUGAAAGCCCCGGGCUCAACCUGGGAAUUGCAUUUGAGACUGCAUAGCUAGGGUGCGGAAGAGGGAAGCGGAAUUUCCGGUGUAGCGGUGAAAUGCGUAGAUAUCGGAAGGAACACCAGUGGCGAAAGCGGCUUCCUGGUCCAGCACCGACGUUCAGGCACGAAAGCGUCGGGGAG
rnacentral:rRNA from 1 species